rnacentral:rRNA from 1 species
UACAGAGGUGGCAAGCGUUGUUCGGAAUCACUGGGCGUAAAGGGCGCGUAGGCGGGAGGCCAAGUCGGUCGUGAAAUCUCCGGGCUCAACCCGGAGGAGUCGGCCGAAACUGGUUUUCUUGAGGGAGGCAGAGGAGUCUGGAAUUCCCGGUGUAGCGGUGAAAUGUGUAGAGAUCGGGAGGAACACCGGUGGCGAAGGCGGGACUCUGGGCCUACCCUGACGCUGAGGCGCGAAGGCGUGGGGAGCAAACGGG